CCUACGGGGGACAGCAGUGAGGAAUAUUGGUCAAUGGGCGCAAGCCUGAACCAGCCAAGUCGCGUGAGGGAUGACGGUCCUAUGGAUUGUAAACCUCUUUUGUCGGGGAGCAAGGCCCGCCACGUGUGGAGGGAAGGAGAGUACCCGAAGAAAAAGCAUCGGCUAACUCCGUGCCAGCAGCCGCGGUAAUACGGAGGAUGCGAGAGUUAUCCGGAUUUAUUGGGUUUAAAGGGUGCGUAGGCGGAAGGUUAAGUCAGCGGUCAAAUGUCGGUGCUCAACAACGGACUGCCGUUGAAACUGGUCUGCUUGAGUGAGCGAGAAGUAUGCGGAAUUCGUGGUGUAGCGGUGAAAUGCAUAGAUAUCACGCAGAACUCCGAUUGCGAAGGCAGCAUACCGGCGCUCAACUGACGCUGAGGCACGAAAGCGUGGGGAUCGAACAGGAUUAGAUACCCCAGUAGUC
rnacentral:rRNA from 1 species